rnacentral:rRNA from 1 species
GAUGAACGUUGGCGGCGUGCCUAAUACAUGCAAGUUGAGCGAACAGACGAGGAGCUUGCUCCUCUGACGUUAGCGGUGGACGGGUGAGUAACACGUGGAUAACCUACCUAUAAGACUGGGAUAACUUCGGGAAACCGGAGCUAAUACCGGAUAAUAUAUUGAACCGCAUGGUUCAAUAGUGAAAGACGGUUUUGCUGUCACUUAUAGAUGGAUCCGCGCCGCAUUAGCUAGUUGGUAAGGUAACGGCUUACCAAGGCAACGAUGCGUAGCCGACCUGAGAGGGUGAUCGGCCACACUGGAACUGAGACACGGUCCAGACUCCUACGGGAGGCAGCAGUAGGGAAUCUUCCGCAAAGGGCGAAAGCCUGACGGAGCAACGCCGCGUGAGUGAUGAAGGUCUUCGGAUCGUAAAACUCUGUUAUUAGGGAAGAACAAAUGUGUAAGUAACUAUGCACGUCUUGACGGUACCUAAUCAGAAAGCCACGGCUAACUACGUG